CUACGUAGGGUGCAAGCGUUAAUCGGAAUUACUGGGCGUAAAGCGCGCGUAGGUGGUUCGUUAAGUUGGAUGUGAAAGCCCCGGGCUCAACCUGGGAACUGCAUCCAAAACUGGCGAGCUAGAGUAUAGCAGAGGGUGGUGGAAUUUCCUGUGUAGCGGUGAAAUGCGUAGAUAUAGGAAGGAACACCAGUGGCGAAGGCGACCACCGGGGCUAAUACUGACACUGAGGUGCGAAAGCGUGGGGAGCAAACAGGAUUAGAUCCCCGGGUAGUCCACGCCGUAAACGAUGUCGACUAGCCGUUGGGAUCCUUGAGAUCUUAGUGGCGCAGCUAACGCAUUAAGUCGACCGCCUGGGGAGUACGGCCGCAAGGUUAAAACUCAAAUGAAUUGACGGGG
rnacentral:rRNA from 1 species